AUUGAACGCUGGCGGCAGGCCUAACACAUGCAAGUCGAGCGGUAGCACAGAGAGCUUGCUCUCGGGUGACGAGCGGCGGACGGGUGAGUAAUGUCUGGGGAACGGCCUGCUGGGGGGGGAUAACUAUUGGAAACGGUAGCUAAUACCGCAUAACGUCGCAAGACCAAAGAGGGGGACCUUCGGGCAUCUUGCCAUCUGAUGUGCCCGGUUGGGAUUAGCUAGUAGGUGGGGUAACGGCACACCUAGGCGACGAUCCCUAGUUGGUCUGAGAGGAUGACCAGCCACACUGGAACUGAGACACGGUCCAGACUCCUACGGGAGGCAGCAGUGGGGAAUAUUGCACAAUGGGCGCAAGCCUGAUGCAGCCAUGCCGCGUGUAUGAAGAAGGCCUUCGGGUUGUAAAGUACUUUCAGCGGGGAGGAAGGUGUUGAGGUUAAUAACCUCAGCAAUUGACGUUACCCGCAGAAGAAGCACCGGCUAACUCCGUGCCAGCAGCCGCGGUAA
rnacentral:rRNA from 1 species